ACGAACGCUGGCGGCGUGCUUAACACAUGCAAGUCGAGCGGUAAGGCCCUUCGGGGUACACGAGCGGCGAACGGGUGAGUAACACGUGGGUGAUCUGCCUCGCACUCUGGGAUAAGCCUGGGAAACUGGGUCUAAUACCGGAUAUGACCAGGGAAUGCAUGUUCUYUGGUGGAAAGGUUUACUGGUGCGAGAUGGGCCCGCGGCCUAUCAGCUUGUUGGUGGGGUAACGGCCUACCAAGGCGACGACGGGUAGCCGACCUGAGAGGGUGACCGGCCACACUGGGACUGAGACACGGCCCAGACUCCUACGGGAGGCAGCAGUGGGGAAUAUUGCACAAUGGGCGAAAGCCUGAUGCAGCGACGCCGCGUGAGGGAUGACGGCCUUCGGGUUGUAAACCUCUUUCGACAGGGACGAAGYGCAAGUACGGUAACCU
rnacentral:rRNA from 1 species